GGGCGCGUAGCUCAGCGGGAGAGCACUGCCUUCACACGGCAGGGGUCACUGGUUCAACCCCAGUCGCGCCCACCA
rnacentral:tRNA from 1 species